AAUUGAAGCUGAAUAGCUAAUAUGUUCCAUAGAUAUUCGAUGAAUUGCACAAGUGACAAUUUAUCCAGUGGUAUUCUUACAGCUACUGCUGAUGAAGGCUUCUCUCCCUUUUAACUGUGGCACCACAUCUGCAAAUGGACUAUGAUUAGGACUUGAAGGACAACAUGAUGACAAAGAUAUGGCCAUCCAAGAGCUAGAAAGUCCUGCAGCACCACCAGCAGGUGGACAGGAAGGGAAGUGGCUUCCAAACCAUUAUUAGCUGCAACAGCUCAAAGCUGACAUUCUAUAUGUUUUUGGAUUUGUCAGAUUAAGAAUUGGCAAGAUUGAGUCUAUUGAAUCGUCCACCUUUGGCCCUGAGAAUUCUAUGUAGGAAUGCAAAAUGAAGAGAUACCAUGAAGCAGGAGUCACAUUUAUUCUACCAUAUUCAAAAUUGAUACAAGACCAGAUCUUCUCAAGAUGAACUAUGCUUAAGAAGCCAAAGUUCUUGCAAAUGAUCCGUCAGACUAUGAACCUAUGACUUGUAUACACUUCUGUCAUUUGCAACAGUUGAAUUACAAAUUCACUCAUAUGAUUGGUAGUUUCAGAUAAUGUUUGGCAGUUCCACGUAUAAAUUUUCCGUACUAUUUAGUGUCCUUUCCGAGCGUUCCUAGGGAAAGAAAAAAAACAUGUACUGAAAAUAAAUGGGAGUACAAAAUUGUUUGUUCCCUUUUGUGCAA